rnacentral:misc_RNA from 1 species
GAUGAAGAACGCAGCGAAAUGCGAUAAGUAAUGUGAAUUGCAGAUUUCAGUGAAUCAUCGAAUCUUUGAACGCACAUUGCGCCCGCCAGUAUUCUGGCGGGCAUGCCUGUUCGAGCGUCAUUUCAACCAUCAAGCCCCCGGCUUGUGUUGGGGACCUGCGGCUGCCGCAGGCCCUGAAAACCAGUGGCGGGCUCGCUAGUCACUCCGAGCGUAGUAAUACAUCUCGCUCAGGGCGUGCUGCGGGUUCCGGCCGUUAAAAAGCCUUAUUUACCCAAGGUUGACCUCGGAUCAGGUAGGAAGACCCGCUGAACUUAAGCAUAUCAAUAAGCGGAGGA